GGGAUCUUAGCUCAGCUGGGAGAGCAUCUGCGUUACAAGCAGAGGGUCACAGGUUCGAGCCCUGUAGGUCCCA
rnacentral:tRNA from 1 species